UGUUGCUGAAGCUUGCAUACAGGCGCUGGACAUAAAAUGCACUGAAGGAAAAAUAUUUGAAGUCAACUCAGUUGAGUAGCGUUAUGUUUUCAACUUGUUUGGCAGAGCUAUAAUGGAACCAAAGGUGGUUGAUCUUGCUCGAUUCCUGACUAAAAGUGGGACCUGUAUGUAAGGAGCAGAAAGCUAAAGUUACCUAAACUCCACAGCUAAACUUACUUCAACUUCACUAAAAAACAUCUGAUCAAGAUGGAGGCUGAUAUCCUCCUAUCUCUGAAAUUUGAAAUGGGAAAUCUCAAUGUUGGUACAUCCUUGAGAAAAUUCAUUGAUCUUGCUCAAGGGAGUUACUACAAAGUUCUUAUUUUGCCAAGGGCAGAUCAUUGGAGUUCCUGUAGCUUUGCAUCUAUUCAAGGUUUAUAGAACAUACCUAAUGAGAAAAUUAGUAUAGUAGUUACUAUACUUUGUAAAUUUCUUUGUAGUUGAUUCUCCUUAGAUCGGAUCUUAAUUAGUAUACAUAUUGUAAUAGUGUAUUUUGGUAACUAA